UUAUGCACAUUUCUCAUAAUCCCCUGCAACUCCUAUUUCUCUAAGCUCUCCCCUCUUCUUCUUAAGAUCCCACUCUGACGCUACUGACGAGAACCCCACCGACUGCCGACCACAAGCUCUUCGUCUUCGCCCGUCUUUGUCUUUGAUCCCUACGAUGAGGUAAAAGAAGCGAUUACUCCCUCUUUGUCUUCACUUUGUCUUCGUCUUCACCCCUUCGGCGAAAUCAAGGAAGAGCCCAUCGACCUCAAGCUCUUCGUUUGCAGCCUCGGCUCUCAAAGAUCAAUUGAACCAAACACUCAAUUCUAAACCCUCGGUUUUUGGAGAAAAUAUAGCAUAGCGAAAUCAAGUUUAUCAUCUGGAUCAACAAUAAUAAAGGAUGACUUCUAUGGUACUAUGAGACACGAAUAUCAAAGAAUAUAUUAGAGUCAAAGAUUUGAAGCCACCAAUAACUAAUUAGACUUUGAAAGGUAAGAAAAUGGGUUCAUUACAAAGUUCGACAAUUAUGAAGAAGUCAGAAGCUGCAAUCCACAUCUUAUCUGAGCAAGAUAUGUUGCGGUAUAUUCAUGAGGAGAUCAAUCAAGAGCCUACAAGUAGGAAGCCUAAAAGAGAGGAGAAAUCAGACUCUGAAAAGCUCUUUUAACAAAAAAGUUAAAAAAGAGGAAGGAAGUCAACCCACUAUUACAUAGAAUGAAGCUUAUGAGAAGGUGUCAAAUAUUGAAUGAAGCUUAUAAGAAAGAACUCAUAAGAGUCGGCAUUGAUCCGAAGGCUAUUAAGGAUGAUAUUGAAAAAAGGUUCGCACAACCGAAAACAAGAUAGAGAAAAUAAAAAUGAGAGAAAAAUGAGAGUCGAGGAGAUGAGGAGCUUGUAGAUGUGAAAAUAACUAUGGAAGCCACUGAAAAGAAAAAGGAAAGGAAAAGGAGGAAGGAAACUGAUAAAACAUCGAAAGAAUUUAUUUAGGGGUUACGAGAAAAGAACAAGAGAAUAACAAAGAAGCCCAAGUCUUUGGAUUCUCCUUUCAAAACAAUUAUCCCUAAGAAACAAACUAAAGUGAAGAAAGCUCAAGUCAUGGUGGAAGAUAACAACGACAAGAGGGAGAAGGAAAAGGAGAAAGAACUUGCAAUUGCAUAUGCCGAUACGAGAAUAUCUAUCGAAGACUUAUGGAGAAGAGACAAAUUUAAAGAAGAAAAGAAAUUAUUGGAGAUGUUGAUUAUGGGUAUUCUUUUUCCGAAUAACUUGGAUAUCAGACCUCCGGGAGUCAUCGAAGAUGGAUUUUAUCAUAAUUUCACCGUUCAGAAUGUAGCUUAUUAUCUGAUAAUGUGAACAAGUGGCUUCAAAAUUUCUGACAUUAAAUGUGGACAAGUAAGUAUCGGGUAGUUAUUUAUGAAUUUCAUAUGAGAUAUUUGCAAUUUUAUGUGAUUCUUGUUUAUUCUAUGUGACUCUAAUAUAUUGGUUAGGAUAUAUAGUGGUUUUCUAUUACCUUUACUUGUUUCCUGUGAUAUUUACAUAUAGUCUAUGAUACAUAAUCUUACUCCUUAUGACACUUAUCAGUUGAUUGUGAUAAAUAGUUAUUUUUUGUGAUUUUUUAUUAGUUACUGUGAUACUUAUACAUUGAUUGUGUUGUGCAUAUUAUAUAGAAAGAGGACUGUUUAUAAGGUCAACAACCAUAGUAUAAAUAGAUAUAAUAUGCUUCAUCUGCUACAUGGUGGAAGAUUAAAGGACGAUGUAAUAUUUUAUUUAACUUGUGGUGUUAUUCAAAUUCUAUACUUAUACAUCGAUUUAUUGCAUUUGUAAUUGUUAGACUAUUGAAGCGUUGAUUGCAUGACUUUAGAAAUGGCUAAAGCUGCCAGAAAAUGCGAAACUGAAAAAAAAUUUGCAAUAAUCAUAUCAUACUUUAGUGUGAGUAAUAUCAAUCAUAAAGCUUGAACAAGUAAUGUUGCAUUUAUAUCUUAUUUGACUUUCUUCGUCUUUAUUUUUAAGAUUUGGUUGCUAACUCCUUUAAAAGUGGAUGAGAAAAAUGUUUAUGGAAAGUAUAUAAAGAAGCAUAUAGAUGACGGGGACAUUCUGUUAAUUCUAAUAUGUCACACUAAUCACUGGCAUGUCCUUGAUGUUAAUUUGGGGCAAAAAAUGUAGAUAUUACAGUUCUGCUGACCAUGAGACAUGGGCUAAAGACGUUGUGACAAUCCAGCUAUUUUGAGAUAGGAUGGUAAGUAAAUUCGACCAGGUGUCGACAUUCAGAGCAUUCUAGUAUGAAGUCAUUCCUAGUCGAAAACGAAAAGGCUCGUACGGUUGUGGCAUGCACACAUAUUUAUACAUUAAAGGGAUUUUAGAAGGAAAGGAGGUGAUGGAUAUUGAAUCUUGUGAAAGGGAGUCUAAAAGAUUAAGAAUAAGACUUGCUGCUCAAAUUACAUGUGAAGGUUGAGAAUUGAAGAAGCUGGGACUGAAGUUAGAUGCAAAUAAUCUAGAAUAUCUUUUGUAUUUUGGGGAUAAAUGAUGUACCAUUUAUUGAGUAGAAGUAUUAGACAAUAUAACAUAACUCUAUGCUGGAUAUGAUGAAUUCUUUUGUAAUUUUUUAGACUCAUGGUGACAAUGAUGAAA